UGCUUGCAAUUUAUGAUGGCGACCGGCGCACGGGUGAGUAACGCGUAUCCAACCUACCCAUUACUAGGGAAUAACCCAGCGAAAGUUGGCCUAAUGCCCUAUGUAGUCGUUUGAUCGCCUGAGAUUUCGACGAAAGAUUUAUCGGUAUUGGAUGGGGAUGCGUCUGAUUAGCUUGUUGGCGGGGUAAAGGCCCACCAAGGCAACGAUCAGUAGGGGUUCUGAGAGGAAGGUCCCCCACAUUGGAACUGAGACACGGUCCAAACUCCUACGGGAGGCAGCAGUGAGGAAUAUUGGUCAAUGGGCGAGAGCCUGAACCAGCCAAGUAGCGUGCAGGAUGACGGCCCUAUGGGUUGUAAACUGCUUUUAUAUGGGAAUAAAGUGAGGGACGUGUCCCUUAUUGCAUGUACCAUACGAAUAAGGACCGGCUAAUUCCGUGCCAGCAGCCGCGGUAAUACGGAAGGUCCAGGCGUUAUCCGGAUUUAUUGGGUUUAAAGGGAGCGUAGGCUGUUUGUUAAGCGUGUUGUGAAAUGUAGGAGCUCAACUUUUAGAUUGCAGCGCGAACUGGCAGACUUGAGUGCGCACAACGUAGGCGGAAUUCAUGGUGUAGCGGUGAAAUGCUUAGAUAUCAUGACGAACUCCGAUUGCGAAGGCAGCUUACGGGAGCGCAACUGACGCUAAAG
rnacentral:rRNA from 1 species